rnacentral:rRNA from 1 species
AACGCGAAGAACCUUACCUACCCUUGACAUGUCUGGAAUUCUGAAGAGAUUCGGAAGUGCUCGCAAGAGAACCGGAACACAGGUGCUGCAUGGCUGUCGUCAGCUCGUGUCGUGAGAUGUUGGGUUAAGUCCCGCAACGAGCGCAACCCUUGUCAUUAGUUGCUACGAAAGGGCACUCUAAUGAGACUGCCGGUGACAAACCGGAGGAAGGUGGGGAUGACGUCAAGUCCUCAUGGCCCUUAUGGGUAGGGCUUCACACGUCAUACAAUGGUCGGGACAGAGGGUCGCCAACCCGCGAGGGGGAGCCAAUCCCAGAAACCCGAUCGUAGUCCGGAUCGCAGUCUGCAACUCGACUGCGUGAAGUCGGAAUCGCUAGUAAUCGCGGAUCAGCAUGUCGCGGUGAAUACGUUCCCGGGCCUUGUACACACCGACUGUAC